rnacentral:rRNA from 1 species
AUACGAAAGGGGCAAGCGUUGUUCGGAUUUACUGGGCGGAAAGAGAUCGUAGGUGGUUUAUCAAGUCGGAUGUGAAAUCCCGGGGCUCAACCCCGGAACUGCAUUCGAUACUGGUAGACUUGAGUUCGGGAGGGGGAUGCGGAAUUCCGCGUGUAGCAGUGAAAUGCGUAGAUAUGCGGAGGAACACCAGAGGCGAAGGCGGCAUCCUGGACCGAUACUGACACUGAGGAUCGAAAGCGUGGGUAGCAAACAGGAUUAGAAACCCGGGUAGUCC